rnacentral:rRNA from 1 species
GACGAACGCUGGCGGCGUGCCUAAUACAUGCAAGUAGAACGCUGAAGAGAGGAGCUUGCUCUUCUUGGAUGAGUUGCGAACGGGCGAGUAACGCGUAGGUAACCUGCCUUGUAGCGGGGGAUAACUAUUGGAAACGAUAGCUAAUACCGCAUAACAAUGGAUGACACAUGUCAUUUAUUUGAAAGGGGCAAUUGCUCCACUACAAGAUGGACCUGCGUUGUAUUAGCUAGUAGGUGAGGUAAUGGCUCACCUAGGCGACGAUACAUAGCCGACCUGAGAGGGUGAUCGGCCACACUGGGACUGAGACACGGCCCAGACUCCUACGGGAGGCAGCAGUAGGGAAUCUUCGGCAAUGGGGGCAACCCUGACCGAGCAACGCCGCGUGAGUGAAGAAGGUUUUCGGAUCGUAAAGCUCUGUUGUAAGUCAAGAACGGGUGUGAGAGUGGAAAGUUCACACUGUGACGGUAGCUUACCAGAAAGGGACGGCUAACUACGUG